GGCCUUGACAUGCUAAGAACUUUCCAGAGAUGGAUUGGUGCCUUCGGGAACUUAGAUACAGGUGCUGCAUGGCUGUCGUCAGCUCGUGUCGUGAGAUGUUGGGUUAAGUCCCGCAACGAGCGCAACCCUUUUCCUUAUUUGCCAGCGGGUUAAGCCGGGAACUUUAAGGAUACUGCCAGUGACAAACUGGAGGAAGGCGGGGACGACGUCAAGUCAUCAUGGCCCUUACGGCCAGGGCUACACACGUGCUACAAUGGUCGGUACAAAGGGUUGCUACCUCGCGAGAGGAUGCUAAUCUCAAAAAGCCGAUCGUAGUCCGGAUCGCAGUCUGCAACUCGACUGCGUGAAGUCGGAAUCGCUAGUAAUCGCGGAUCAGAAUGCCGCGGUGAAUACGUUCCCGGGCCUUGUACACACCGCCCGUCACACCAUGGGAGUUUGUUGCACCAGAAGUAGGUAGUCUAACCGCAAGGAGGACGCUUACCACGGUGUGGCCGAUGACUGGGGUGAAGUCGUAACAAGGUAGGCGUAGAUGA
rnacentral:rRNA from 1 species